CCAGCUCCUAAGCCGCCCCUUCCUUGUAUCUGCUGGAAGCUGACAAAGUGUCAGCUUUGUGAGAUCUGCGAAUUUCCAGAGUUACAUUAAGGGAGGCAACAAAAUGUAAGGUGAACUGGAGAGAAUCUCAUUUUCCCUUCCUCUAAUCUGAGGACUACGGAGCGCCCUUGGUCGGUCAGAAAUGGUCAUGCCCAUUUCACAGUUGAGACCAGUGAGAUUCACAUGAAGAAAAGAACUUGCCCUGCACCCCUCAGCAAGGAGGGACAGAGCUGGGAUUUGAACUCACAUCUUCCAACUCAUGAUAUUUCUGUGAACUGGAAACAGAGCACUAACAGGACCUUUGAUCUUAUAACUGCUACAGGACAAUUAGAAAAUAGAGAAAAGUAUAAAUUGGCUAAAAACAUGUGCCUACUUAUCUAGGCACAAUGAGCACAUCUACAAAGUGGCUUUCUUGUUAAGUGAAAGAAGGUAUAUAUGUCCUUACACAGUACCUUGAACAGCCUUGAAAGAGAG
rnacentral:lncRNA from 1 species